UUGGCCGCUGUUAGCUUGUUGGGAUGUGGUUCUGAAUGUAAAAUGGUUCUGGGCUCGGUUCUGCUUUAACAUGCCUCUGGUUUCACAGGAAGCGGAGCAACAGACUCUGACGGAGUGUCGGUACCGGUACCCCACAGAGACUCUGAAGGACCUGCGGUUUGUCCGGGCUCGGUUCCGAGACCUGCGGCUGUUUGUGGACUUUUACUGGAGGAUUUUCCAGGGACCAGGAACCACAGACCAGGGACUAGAGACUAGAGACCAGGGACCAGGAACCACAGACCAGGGACUAGA